UUGUAUGAGACAGAGAGGAGAAGGGGCAUCCAUGGUGGCACCAUGAGAGGCUGUUAGGAAAGCUGUCUUUGCUCAUUUCCAGAGAGCUGAAGAACAUGCUGGUGGUUGGCUGGAGCACUGGGAAGGGAACAGCCAGAGCAGUCCAGCUGCAGCCUUGUCUCUGAGAAGCCCUGGAGCCCCAGGCACCACUUGAAGUAGAAUCAUAGAAUCAUUUAGGUUAGAAAAGACCUUUAAGAACAUCGAGUACAACUGAAAUAUUUCGUGAUCCCUGGUAACUGAUGUCCAAGACAGAGCAAGCCAUUGGUUUGCAGGGACCAAUGCACGGGGAGACAGGGCUGGACGGUCAGGAGGCACCUCAGCUGCUUGACUGUAAAUGCAUGGGCAAUUAGCGAAAAUCAGGAGGAGAUUAAUGAUGGCUGUAUUCAAAAGCUGUGUGCAAAGAAGGGCAUUGCACUCUCACACAUGUAUCUUGGUCCCUUCCCUCAAGAUGCCCUCUGCCCAGCAUGGAGGAUGGUCUGGCUUGCACUGACAGUUUCUCAGCUGGGCUGUGUUUUGUCAGUUGGGCAGUGUAUAGAAGUAGCACCUAGGGUAAAGCGCCUUUGUGAAAGACAUGAGCUAUUAACAGUGGAUGGCCUGUUCAACAAGGCAGCUGAUCAACAAAGAGGAGACCUGCAGAUCUGAUGGCUCGUGCUUUUCAUCAGUGAUUGGACCUUUUGCGGGAUCCCUGUGGCAUAAGGCUAAGUUCUCACAUCUUGUUGGGAACAGAGGCAUCUCACCUUCCAGGGUCAGCUGGAGUAAGAUGUGGUCCAAUGUUUCCUCUCACCUCUGUUGCCCAGACUGAAUCUGUUUCUCCCUCUUCCUCCUCUUUCCAGGCUGUAGAUCUCCAGCCUGGCAUUCCUAUCCCCAAGGCAGUAUUGCAGCUGCAGUCUUGGUGUGUGGGAUUUUUCAUUCUUUUGUUUAUCUUGUUAAUAUUUGUUUGCUCUGAGAAUCAGGGCCGUGAUGGAGCAGCUUCAGUGUUUACAUCUCCUUGGAAAUGUGAACUGAGGCUCCCCUGGGUGGCUGCGGAGUUGUCAGGCUAUGCCAGGAGCUAAUCCUAGUCAAAGUACUCAGCCCCAAAUUAAGAAGACCCCAGAAUGGUGUCACCUCUAGAUGGGAAGGAGGAAAAAAGAGAAGAUUUCAUGUACCUGAGCUUGGGGAGAGGAGCUUUGAGCAGGAAGGCUGCAGGUUUCAUUGCCUCAUGUACCCGCCAUGUAGUGGGUUACAGCCACAGAGAAUCCAGCCUGUGCCCAGUGCUGCAGAGCAGUAACACAGAGUGCAGAGGUUUUGUGCCUUUGUUGGCUUUUUGUAUUGCUAAUUCCAGAACUGGGGACAUGCGGAGGAGCUAAGGAGACUGAUAGUGGAAGUAUGGCAGUGCAUAGAUGUACUACACUCUUCCUGGACCUGAGAUACUUUGUGUGGAUAUGCCUGGCUGUGAAGUGUGGAACUAUCCUUAGCCUGCUAACCUCACCCUCAUUAGAGAAGGAGGUUUGUUUCUUUGUCUACAGCUUGAGUCUUUUUUAUUCAACAUUUUACAGGUAAGAUCUGUGUGCUGCUCAGCAGGAGAGAGCCUUAGAUCAGUGCAGUGCUACGACUGCUCAUGAGGUGUAUGUCCUCCAUCAAGGGUUUUCAUGGAGCAGACUUUAAUUUCUGUCCUUCUCCACUGGGCCACCUCUCAUCUUCUAGGCUAGAGAACAGAAAGACCUACUUCUCUUGCAAGGGGACUAUCUCUUCCUCCCCAUGUCACCUACUUGUUCAGCGUUGCCGGGAGGACACCAGUGAUUUGAUUUGAGGUACACUGGUGAGAUGGCAGUGCUCCUCACACCGCUGCUGGUUUCUCCCUCUGGCAGAUCUCUAUUCCAAUUUUAACUUCAGAGUUGUGGGUCUUUUUGAAAUUGAUGCCAGCAGUGACUGUCCUGGCUGGAAGAGUUUGGAGCUGGGGAAGGGAUCCUAAACUUAAUAAGCAGUGUCAGUCCCUAAGCAGUGGUGAGCCUCUGGCAUGGUGCCGCUGCCUUUCCUGCCAGCUCUUUGUAGCAUGAGUUGGGGGAGUUGUUUUGUUUUUAUUUUUGGAGCUUUUUAUAUUUAUUUUAUUUUUAAUUUGAAACUUUGCUGUCUGCAGAAGACCUCUGCUUGUCCCAUGCCCCUGGUGGAGAGUGCUUCCAUGUCAGCGUGUUUUUCAUGCAGGGAGAGGUUAGCAAGAGGUCUGUGAGUGAAAGGGCUUUCGAAACUCCAUUGCAUGCUCGCCUCCUUUGUGGUGCUUCUGUCCCAGUGACAGCACUGGUCCUGCUGUGAGGUGCCCAUCUCCAGUUUCUGGCCAGUCCCUGUCUUUUCUGUGCAGAGGGCAUCACUUUGCCAUGUGAGAGGCCACAGCACCCAAUCUGUUGUGCUCCCUACUCUGGAGGAUGCAGGUUCCCUGCCUGCUCAUGUGAGAUGUGCUGCCCUCGUUAGCUAGGGUCCACCAGAGGUUAUUUUUUUGACAUUUUGCAUGUAGGUUACUGCAGCCUGUGCUUCUGUCUCCUGGGCUGCAGAGGAUUUGGCAGAGAGCUGAUAACCACUAUCUGUGCUUGUGGUGGGAAGUUCCUGUAAUGCUGCUCAUGCUGAGGGGCGGCCCAUCGACACUGGAGCUGAUGGUCCUGGCUGUAGCUGCUGCUGGAGGCUGUUUUCAAGUGUCGUGGUGGUGGUGGUGGGCUGCAGCAGUGCCAGGGCUGGGGUGCAGAUGGAGAGGGUUGCUUGGUGUUAUUCGCCCCUCCACUGGGUUGUAUUGCCUGCGCCUGGCAGUGUGUGUCCUGCUGUUCAGACGCAGCUAUAACUCACUCCGUAGGUGUCCGGCUUUCUCUGUUGUGGUUGGAGCUGUGCUCUGAAGGCCACAUUGGAUGGCAGUCAUAGCCUGGUUUCUUUGCCCAGGGGUGGCAUUCGGAAAGCUAAGUUAGCCAAAUCGGGCUGCAGACCAAUUUCCCUAAGGCCUUGUCUGUACUAUGCAAACAAUGAAGCUUUACAGCAGCUAUUGAACUUGUUUGCAGCUAGAGCUGGUCCGAAUUUCUUUUUUUACUGGAUGUAUUUUCUCUCAAAAUAUGGUGUUAUGUUGAAGCCAGCAUUUUUCUUGGAGAGGUAUUGUUUUCAAUUAUGUUUUUGAUGGGAAUGUUUCUUAAUUUUAAGCAUCUCUUGUCAUUUCUGGAAAAAAGAGAAAGAAAGGUCAAGAAACCUUCACUCAUCCAUGAGAAUGCAGCUGUUUUGAUGCAGUUCUGUGUUUUGAAAUCACUUGGAGUACUCUGGUCCUCCAAAUUCCUGUACAGAGCAAAAAUCUACCUCGAUGUCUCAGGAAUUGCCAUGAAGUAAAUCUGUGUGCCCUGACUAUGGUACAGCUGUGUUCAACAUGGCUCAGUCUCUGAGGUCAAGGCCAAACACCGUUAAAAGUGGCUCAUAAACCACCAUAAUCUGGGUCAUGACCUGAACAUUGUUCAUUGUUACGGGAUGGUAGUGGUGGCCCCACUGCUCAGUCUUCUGGUUCCUGCUGAAAUACAACUUCUGAGAGUUUCAUCUAGAACUUGGCCCUUCCCAAAUCCCAGACCUUGGCUCACCUGCGGAGUGAGUAUUGGAUCUUCUGGGUGGUGGCAUAAGGAGUGAUGUUCCUUCCUAUGUGGCUGUGGUGAAAGCAGGAUGGGCAGCUGGGCAGGCAGUGUUUUGUAAUGGACUCUGAGAAGGAAUAUGCUGGCUUGUAGGGAUGGAGACCCAAGGCCCAUGUGCUUGGAGCACUGAGCCUUCAGUAAGUCCCUCUUCUCCAGCAUGCUCCUGGCCUCCUUCACCUGUGAUUUCCCCACCUGGUCUCCCAGCAGUCAGGGAUGUAUAGGUCUGCAGCCUUGUGGCCUGAACUCUUGAAGGCGGAGGUUGUUAUUCACCACCAUGCACGUGGGGAUGCUCAGGGAAGAAGGGUGCUGUGCAUAUAAGCAAAGAAAAUCUGGUUUUCCCCACAGCUUUUCUGCUGCACGGAUGUGUUUGGCUUUGGUCCUCUCUCAGGGCGGGCACCAGGCCCUCCAUUUAGACUUGAAGGCUGUAUAUCUUAGAGGUGUGGGGAGCAUAGUUAGAAUUCCUCAAGUCCUUUUUGAGCUCAUGAUACUCAAAGUUGUGGGAAGCCUCUUGCAGUUGCUGAACUGUUCUAAGCUGAGGGUAUCUGCUGUAAUGAAUGCUACUCCUCCACCCUUGUCUGCAUCCAAAUAGAUAUAACAAUGUUGUGGUUUAGGAUACUUGAUCUGUGUAAAGGCCCAUGAAGGAGCUCUGGGCUUGCAGAACACAGCAGUGACUGCGCCUGCAGGAAGCUGCCUUCAUGUUGUCACACUAGCUUUGCACUGCGCUGCACAUCUGACGAGGCAGCAGUAGGGGCUGUGUGUUUUUGGUGUUUCCUAUUGAUUUCCUCCUCUCUCCAUCCCUUGUUUGUUAUUCAGAGCCUGCCCUUCUGACCUGUGCUAGAUGGAUGGUGGUUUUCCAGAAGGGGGAUGUGGCACCACGUGGCUGUGUUACUGUUUGUCCUGGUGGUGCUGGCUUGUUAGGCAGCAGCUGGCAAGUUAAGUAAAACUUAAUCCUGCUGGUGGCUGCCGUUGGAAAUUUUUUGACAAAAUCCUUUUGUUAAGGCUUUUUGGAAGGCGUUGAAGUAAGGUACAAAUCUGGGAAUUAGUCUAAUCUCUGUAACUUUGUCUGCUUCGUCCAUGUGCUUAUCUAUGUAAUGCCAUGGUGGCCUUAAGAGAAUAUGUGAGCUCUUGGGCCAUGAGUGUCACUGUCUCCAAGGACUGCAUUAGCUGAAGUAUUAGUAUCUUCCUGAGCCCCUGCUCUGCAGCUCUUGGUUUCACUUUUUUCCAUCACUGUGUUGUUACUGUUACAGCACUAAUAUCGAUUCUGUCCAGGAAUGGGCUGGAAUUCUCUGGAGGCCUUGGCAGGGAGAGAUGCCUGCUGCUGACCU